AUUGAACGCUGGCGGCAGGCCUAACACAUGCAAGUCGAGCGGAUGAAGGGAGCUUGCUCCUGGAUUCAGCGGCGGACGGGUGAGUAAUGCCUAGGAAUCUGCCUGGUAGUGGGGGAUAACGUCCGGAAACGGGCGCUAAUACCGCAUACGUCCUGAGGGAGAAAGUGGGGGAUCUUCGGACCUCACGCUAUCAGAUGAGCCUAGGGCGGAUUAGCUAGUUGGUGGGGUAAAGGCCUACCAAGGCGACGAUCCGUAACUGGUCUGAGAGGAUGAUCAGUCACACUGGAACUGAGACACGGUCCAGACUCCUACGGGAGGCAGCAGUGGGGAAUAUUGGACGAUGGGCGAAAGCCUGAUCCAGCCAUGCCGCGUGUGUGAAGAAGGUCUUCGGAUUGUAAAGCACUUUAAGUUGGGAGGAAGGGCAGUAAGUUAAUACCUUGCUGUUUUGACGUUACCAACAGAAUAAGCACCGGCUAACUUCGUG
rnacentral:rRNA from 1 species